GAACAAAAUGAAAUACUAUUUAGUAAUUAAAAGCAAUGAGCUGGGCCAAGAUGGCAGUGCAGGUGGUGCAGGCGGUGCAGGCAGUUCAUCUAGAGUCUGACACUUUCCUUGUUUGUCUCAACCAUGCUCUGAGCACAGAGAAGGAGGAAGUGAUGGGGCUGUGGAUAGGGGAGUUGAACAAUGAUACAAGGAGUGACUCCAAAUUUGCAUAUACUGGAACUGAAAUGCGCACAGUUGCUGAAAAGGUUGAUGCCAUCAGAAUUGUUCACAUUCGUUCUGUCAUCAUCUUAACGACGUUCUGAUAAGAGGAAGGACCAAGUAGAAAUUUCACCAGGGCAGCUGUCUGCAGCUUCAACAGAGGCAGAGAAGUUGGCUGAACUGACAGGCCACCCCAUGAGAGUUGUGGGCUGGUAUCAUUCCCAUCCUCAUAUAACUGUUUGGCCUUCACAUGUUGAUGUUCGCACCCAAGCCAUGUACCAGAUGAUGGAUCAAGGCUUUGUAGGACUUAUUUUUUCCUGUUUCAUAGAAGAUAAGAACACAAGGGCUGGCCGGGUACUCUACACUUGCUUCCAAUCCAUACAGGCCCAAAAGAGUUCAGAGUAUGAGAGAAUCGAAAUCCCAAUCCAUAUUGUACCUCAUGUCACUAUCGGGAAAGCGUGCCUUGAAUCAGCAGUAGAGCUGCCCAAGAUCCUGUGCCAGGAGGAGCAGGAUGCAUAUUGGAGGAUCCACAGCCUUACACAUCUGGACUCAUAACCAAGAUCCAUAAUGGCUCAGUGUUUACCAAGAAUCUGUGCAGUCAGAUGUCAGCAGUCAGCGGGCCUCUUCUACAGUGGUUGGAGGACAGACUGGAGCAAAACCAAUAGCAUUUGCAGGAAUUGCAACAAGAAAAGGAAGAGCUUAUGCAAGAACUUUCUUCUCUGGAAUAAAG
rnacentral:lncRNA from 1 species